rnacentral:rRNA from 1 species
UACGGAGGGUGCGAGCGUUGUUCGGAAUCACUGGGCGUAAAGCGCGCGUAGGCGGCCCACUAAGUCUGCUGUGAAAGCCCGGGGCUCACCCCCGGAAGUGCAUUGGAAACUGGUGGACUCGAGUCCCGGAGAGGAGAGUGGAAUUCCUGGUGUAGCGGUGAAAUGCGUAGAUAUCAGGAGGAACACCGGUGGCGAAGGCGGCUCUCUGGACGGUGACUGACGCUGAGACGCGAAAGCGUGGGGAGCAAACAGG